UACCUGUGAUGAUGAGAUUCUGCCAAAUGAAUGCUAUGAUUAAAUUGCAUUACCGUUCCACUUAUUCUGAGGUU
ensembl:snoRNA